UGAUACGAACACGCUACAUUUUGUUUCGUAAAUACCAUAGAAGUGUCCUAUGGCUUCAACAGCAGGUCAAAAAUGGCAAAAACAAAGAAAACACAUGGUUUUGUAAACUAGGAUCCAAAAUAAUUUUGUUUCGUAUUCUACUUUACAAAAACGCUAGUCUUCAUUUUCUACUAACCGAAAUUUCGUAUACCAGUGAAUCCACAGGCACUUCAUCAUUUUGAAGAAAAUCUAAUUUUAGGGUUAUGGAGGGUGAUUUUUAGGGUUUCAUUCGCAAACAAAAAUGGCGAACAGUCGUUUCAUUCAUGUUUCGUUCACUCCCUUCCAUUCGUCUCACUAAAUCGCUACAAGAACAAAGGGUUUGGGUUGGAAAUUUCCAAAUCUUUCACUCAUACAAGCAUGACAGAUGAAGUUGGGAGACAAAGAGGUGGAAGGGAAAGCAAAGCACACAACUCUGCACUUAGAGAGGUUGUGAAUGUAGAUAAAAUCCCAGCACGUGGACAAUGAACUGGAAGUGGAAGAUGAACAACCACCACCACCACCAACAAAACCACGGAGAAGAAAUCCGAAUUAAGGUUACCAUGAAAGGAGUUGCACUAGGAAGCCAAAUCAAUUCAAGGAUAAUUACAAUUCUUAUCAGACUCUCAAAGACUUGUUGUUUAGAAUGUUUGGGAGGAUUGAUUUUCACCAUUUGGAAGAGAAUUGAAGUAGACAAAUUAGGAUUUGAAGUAGUAGUAGUAGUUAAGAAAUUGGGAAUUUCUGAUGAGUAAAGAAUAGUUUCAUCAAGUAUAUUGGCAUUCCUAACUUGAACAAAAUAUUUUUUUUUUCUACUGGCUGUGGUAUCUUAAUGAAUUGUGGUAUCUUUUCUCUGUUUGUAGUAUAAACCUAGUGGAUCAGCUGAUAAGUCAGGAGUUUUCACUGUUGGUGAUAAAGUACUUUGUCGAUAACUGGUUCAUUGGUAUUCUAGAUUUAAAUUUGGUAGCUUUCUCAUAGGGAAGACUUUCAUUCUAAAUUGUGAUUCGUGAGAAUGGCUAAAAACAAAUCUAUAAAAUGAAGAGUUGGCUUUCAAGAAUGGACAACAUUGUGCAGCGGUUCCCGAAGUGCAAAACUGGAAAGGGAAAAGGCAGAUACAUGCUUUUGUCGUAAGCAGCGGUGCCGCGGUGGAGGUUACAGAGUAUGUGUGUUAUCAAUAUUGAAUUUAACUCCAUAAUACUAUGCUAAUAAUGUGCUAGGUUAGCUAUACAUGUUGGGGUUGUUGGAAUCAUUGUUUCCAAACAUGGAGCACGCAAACUUGAUUAUGUCUCUGCAACUAUUAUGGCUUUGGAUGUAUGCGAGAGUAAAGUUCUUAAAUAGUAAUUUGGUCUAUAUUAUUAGUUAGGAAGAUACUUAUACAAUGUAAUUGAUUAGUUACAAGUUAUAUAACGGUUAUUGAUUAUUAUGUA